CGGACGGGUGAGUAACGCGUGGAUAACCUGCCUCACACAGGGGGAUAACAGUUAGAAAUGACUGCUAAUACCGCAUAAGCGCACGGUACCGCAUGGUACAGUGUGAAAAACUCCGGUGGUGUGAGAUGGCUCCGCGUCUGAUUAGGUAGUUGGUGAGGUAACGGCCCACCAAGCCGACGAUCAGUAGCCGACCUGAGAGGGUGACCGGCCACAUUGGGACUGAGACACGGCCCAA
rnacentral:rRNA from 1 species